rnacentral:hammerhead_ribozyme from 1 species
AUCCGGCUGAUGAGUCCCAAAUAGGAAGAAACGCUCGUACUGGAU